UAGCCUUGACAUUGAUGGAAUCUUUCAGAGAUGGAGGAGUGCCCUUUUUAGGGAGCCUGAAAACAGGUGCUGCACGGCUGUCGUCAGCUCGUGUCGUGAGAUGUUGGGUUAAGUCCCGCAACGAGCGCAACCCUCGUGACUAGUUACUAACGGUUAGGCCGAGGACUCUAGUCAGACUGCCUUCGCAAGGAGGAGGAAGGUGAGGACGACGUCAAGUCAUCAUGGCCCUUACGGCUAGGGCGACACACGUGCUACAAUGGGUAGGACAGUAAGAAGCGAUACCGCGAGGUGGAGCAAAUCUAUAAACCUACUCUCAGUUCGGAUUGUAGUCUGCAACUCGACUACAUGAAGCUGGAAUCACUAGUAAUCGUAGAUCAGCCAUGCUACGGUGAAUACGUUCCCGGGUCU
rnacentral:rRNA from 1 species